AUUGAACGCUGGCGGCAUGCCUUACACAUGCAAGUCGAACGGUAACAGGUCUUCGGAUGCUGACGAGUGGCGAACGGGUGAGUAAUACAUCGGAACGUGCCCGAUCGUGGGGGAUAACGAGGCGAAAGCUUUGCUAAUACCGCAUACGAUCUACGGAUGAAAGCGGGGGAUCUUCGGACCUCGCGCGGACGGAGCGGCCGAUGGCAGAUUAGGUAGUUGGUGGGAUAAAAGCUUACCAAGCCGACGAUCUGUAGCUGGUCUGAGAGGAUGAUCAGCCACACUGGGACUGAGACACGGCCCAGACUCCUACGGGAGGCAGCAGUGGGGAAUUUUGGACAAUGGGCGAAAGCCUGAUCCAGCCAUGCCGCGUGCAGGAUGAAGGCCUUCGGGUUGUAAACUGCUUUUGUACGGAACGAAAAGCCUCUUUCUAAUAAAGAGGGGUCAUGACGGUACCGUAAGAAUAAGCACCGGCUAACUACGUGCCAGCAGCCGCCGUA
rnacentral:rRNA from 1 species